GUUUGAUCCUGGCUCAGGAUGAACGCUGGCGGCGUGCUUAACACAUGCAAGUCGAACGAACCUUCGGGUUAGUGGCGGACGGGUGAGUAACGCGUGGGAAUCUGCCCUCAGGAGGGGGAUAACGGUUGGAAACGACCGCUAAUACCCCAUAUGCCGAGAGGUGAAACGAAAUUCGCCUGAGGAUGAGCCCGCGUCUGAUUAGCUAGUUGGUGGGGUAAAGGCCUACCAAGGCAUCGAUCAGUAGCUGGUCUGAGAGGAUGAUCAGCCACACUGGGACUGAGACACGGCCCAGACUCCUACGGGAGGCAGCAGUGGGGAAUUUUCCGCAAUGGGCGCAAGCCUGACGGAGCAACGCCGCGUGAGGGAUGAAGGCCUCUGGGCUGUAAACCUCUUUUCUCAAGGAAGAAGAACUUACGGUACUUGAGGAAUAAGCCACGGCUAAUUCCGUGCCAGCAGCCGCGGUAAUACGGGAGUGGCAAGCGUUAUCCGGAAUUAUUGGGCGUAAAGCGUCCGCAGGCGGCCUUGAAAGUCUGUCGUUAAAGCGUGGAGCUUAACUCCAUUUCGGCGGUGGAAACUACAAGGCUUGAGUGUGGUAGGGGCAGAGGGAAUUCCCGGUGUAGCAGUGAAAUGCGUAGGUAUCGGGAAGAACACCAGUGGCGAAGGCGCUCUGCUGGGCCAUAACUGACGCUCAUGGACGAAAGCUAGGGGAGCGAAAGGGAUUAGAUACCCCUGUAGUCCUAGCCGUAAACGAUGAACACUAGGUGUCGGGGGAAUCGACCCCCUCGGUGUCGUAGCUAACGCGUUAAGUGUUCCGCCUGGGGAGUACGCACGCAAGUGUGAAACUCAAAGGAAUUGACGGGGGCCCGCACAAGCGGUGGAGUAUGUGGUUUAAUUCGAUGCAACGCGAAGAACCUUACCAGGGUUUGACAUCCUGCGAAUCCCUUGGAAACUUGGGAGUGCCUUCGGGAGCGCAGAGACAGGUGGUGCAUGGCUGUCGUCAGCUCGUGUCGUGAGAUGUUGGGUUAAGUCCCGCAACGAGCGCAACCCACGUCUUUAGUUGCCAGCAUUUAGUUGGGCACUCUAGAGAGACCGCCGGUGAUAAACCGGAGGAAGGUGUGGAUGACGUCAAGUCAUCAUGCCCCUUACAUCCUGGGCUACACACGUACUACAAUGCUACGGACAAAGGGUUGCAAACUCGCGAGAGCUAGCUAAUCCCAUAAACCGUGGCUCAGUUCAGAUCGUAGGCUGCAACUCGCCUACGUGAAGGAGGAAUCGCUAGUAAUCGCAGGUCAGCAUACUGCGGUGAAUACGUUCCCGGGCCUUGUACUCACCGCCC
rnacentral:rRNA from 1 species